UGUAUGUAUAGAAAGUGUUUAUGCCCCACGACUGUGCAGCUUAACACAAGUUCGUCUGAGACUUACCAGACUGCCAGUGCUGCACGUUCAGACAUACAGGUGACUAACUCACGCGCACACAAGAGCGCACGGUGCACGUGCAACAGGAAGUCGUAAACAUUCGUUCUUUCGCGCAUUCACCUAUAGACUCUCGCACCUGCAGACACGCGUAUGCGCGCCACCUGACGGUGACAAACACUCGCAUGAACUCGUCAACCCAGCUCUGUGCUGAGUCGCAGGUUCUCGUCUAACAGCCUCACUCCGAGGGAGGGUCUCGUCACACAGGUGAACGCCGCCCAUACUUACCAUGCAGCAGGAGGGACCCACUCACCUGACGGUCGAUUAGGUAUCGAUUAGGUCGCCUGCAAUCACUUUCCAUGGAGGAAACUACCUCCGUGUCAAGAAUGUGACCUUUCUCCUCUCUCGUCCCAGACGGCGUGUACCGAGGACAGCGAGCCAUCGUCGCAUAUUGCAACAGAGAAACCAUCUGGUGGGACAAGCUGAUGCUAAGCAGAAAUAGUCGUUGUCGUUUGCUUCGAUGUGAACAUCUGCCGCUGCCGCCUGUGACGUAACGCUCGUGAGACUCUUUUCAAUGAUUUAUUUUUGGUGAACUCUACACUAAAGGUGUUGCACAACCGCAUGUGUCCUUAUUUACGACAUAAUUCAACAUUCCAGGCCACAUUGAGAAUGACCCUAUAUCUACUGCCUCGGAGUAAGAUGAUUCUUGAAGGGGUCACACGUUUGUCCGUUAUUUCAUUGACCUCACUGGGUGGUGUCAACAAUGCCGAGAAAAUCGGAUAACCCACAACAACUUGCAAGUUUGCUCAUGUUCUCCACCUUCGCAGCUGACAAGACAGCUAUGGAGAGGAGUGCCUCAGCCAAACACGAUUUGAGCUCAACCUCGUGGGAGUCCUGAAAAACGAAAGGCGUACAGGACACGAACGAGCUCACAGCGCCAACCUGCACGAUCCUCGGCAGGCAACGGGUCAGCGCAAGGGUCGGAGGGGCAGCGGAAGUCCCUACAUGCAGCCCCCGUGCCAUCCACUGGGCUACGAACCCAAACGCCAUGUUGGCCAUCGCCUGGGAGAAGGUCCAAGCCGACCCCUCCGCGACCUCGACCUUGGCGGGAGGUCGGACAGCGCUCAGGUGCCAGGUCGCGGUCACCUCCAGCGUCAGGCACGCGACGUCGCUGUUGACCCGCGACAGGUGAAGGCAGGAGCUGGCCACGUGACCACUGCAACAACAAAAACGACGCCAACAGCGCAGCUACGACGACGUCAACUCACCUGGGUCCCUUACGCUCCGGUCUACCACACUUCACCGCCUGCUGGAUUUCCAAGGCAACUUAGAAGACAAUCCAGUGGUGGCCACGCAGCAUCCGUAACACGGCGACCGCAGCCUCUCCAAUCGCCCCUCCCGCCAAAGUCACCAGGAAUCGAGCGAAGGGAGACAAGCGAUUUCUUCCUUGCAGGCAGCCAGCGUUAUCUCCCUUCUAAAGAUGUUCACAUCCAUUUGGCAGGAACUCUACGUACAUCGCGCUGCUUACAGCAAAGAAGACAGAAGAAGGUGACGUUUGGAGGUGCGACGGUCGUCCUCUGAAAGAGAAGGGAAUCAAUGGCGGACUUCUCGGACUGCAACCCUUGUUUCCUUAACUACUCUGAAAUUAUUCGCGGGAGACGAACCGAACCGAUCGAAUUUCGCGCCAUCAAAACUACUUUCAAGAGCUAUCUGAAAACGUAUUUGAGCUUGUGAUUCCCCUACUGUGACUUCGGCAUUCCUUGCAGAUGGUAGUUGUUUAGUCACGGAUGCUACUACUGCAGACCUACCUGCUUCAGGAAUUCCUCGAGAGUAGUAAUCGCAUUCUAAAGGCCGUAACCAUAGAAUGUUGGACAAACGGCGACAUUUUAGCCACUACUAUAGUCUGUCACUAAUUUUUGUUCUCUGAAAAAUGCUAUCGCCAUUUCCUCUGAUUGGCAUCGAACACCCCAAACCCCAGCUCUCCCAUACCGAGUCGCCCUUCUAAUAUUUUCUUCAUCAGCGCAGACUUCUGAUUACACCUCCGCUCAAUCGUUAGAACUUCAAAGUGUUAAUAAACCCUCCAUAACAUCUUUACGAUUUUUCGAGGAAAGGAGGAAGAGUGUUAUAGCAUAUAACAAACUCAAGCGCCGAUGUUUCACACAAAACAGUUUUUGGAGUACUCUUUUUUAAACUUCUCGUCAUCCCUGUUUUCUAAACCCUUAUAGUUUUUCUUUGGUUAAUUUUUCCUUCCCUUCUGUCUUUGCUUUACGUUUUUCCUCACCCACGUUCGAACGACCGUAGUCUUGGUUACCGAAAAUCCAGAGAUGUUAUCACACAGCCUUAGUCAGCAGCAUGUAUCAAUAGCUUCUACAAAACAUCUGUAGCGGAUGGAUGGAUUGGAACUUCCUGCAUCUAGUUUGAAAUUUGUAAUUAUUUAGUCACGUGACAAAAUUAACACUGUAUUAUUCUAUGAUUGAAUUCAUAACUAUAAUAAUUGGUGAUAUGGGAUGGCAUACACAAUCGAUUGACCAGCUUGGUAAACACUCUUGAAAUGUAAAUGAAUUGUUUGUUGGUGUUUGUUUGUUUGUUUGUUUUUCGUCGUUUUCCUGCUUUUAAGAAGAAAAACUUUCAUGGGAAACAAAAGCUCUGCUUCAUUUAUUGCAAAUGAACAUUUGGUGUAAUCACACAAACAAGAUUAGAGAAGCUACUAGCUGAUGAAAAUAAUUAUGCAACAUAAUUUUAACAAAAUUCGUGGAAGAAAACAACGCAAAGUUCUUCAGUGCUGGCUCUGCAGAUGAUAAACACAUGGAAGAACUUCCAAGAACCUUAAGGCGAGGUGGUAUAUGUAUUGUGCGAAAAGGAUGAGAGAUAGUUUGGCGCUGCAUAUUGAUCCCGGUACAUGCAGCCAGCAUUUCCUCUUGGAUAGGAAGUGGUCGAGUCCCCAUAACACAUCUAUGUUCGCCCUUGCACCGGAAGUUGUCCGACGCCAUAAUUAGGAGUGGGUGACACGUAACCGCCACUGGAACUGGAAGUUACAGUUGAUGUCGGGUGCUUGUGGGUAUAUGGGUGGAAACGACGCUUUGGUGCAUCACUUCUGACCACGUUCUGACGAUUUAACAUCCACCUGAAAUCAAGUUGAAUAAAACUGAAAACAAGUGUUCGAAAGGCGAAGCCGGGUAUCGGACAAUAAGUGUACUCUAGGUGAAUUGACCGUUAUGAAAUUAUCAUACUUAAACUUUAGGGGACAAAAAGAUUGAGAUGAAAAUGAUAUUAGCUGUUCAAGCUCAGAGUUUAUUCGCGGAACCGUUGCCUAAAUGUGGUUUUCGACUAUAAGUAAACCACUGAAGGUUAAAAAAAAAAAAAAAAUGAGAUCAUUAUUCUUCUGUGUGCGUGCAUGCAUGUGCAUGCGCCUAGACGAAGCAAUUUCAUAGGUUAGUAACCCUUAUCCUUCUUUAAACUUUAUUCUUUACAGAGAAGCAGAAAAAGAAAUGCGAGUUUAUCAUAUUCCCGGUUCCUCUCUUACCUGCAGGACGCCAUAUUUGACGCCAGAUGAGCUUGGCCCGGGAUUCGAACCGGAAGGAAGUAUAUAUGUGCAUUCAUAUUCAGAUGGAACUGGACCAGUGUUGUAAGGGUUUCGAUGCUGAACUCUUGGUAGGUGGAGAAGUUAUCGUGGAUGUAGGUGGCGAUGUCGAUGGUGGUUGGCGUAGGCGAGCCGCAGCUGCUGAUAGCGCAUGCUAUCAACUGUAGUGCAUUCAUUGGCAAUUUGACUGAAAUGAAAACUGAGUUCACCUCACAUGUUCAAUGGUGUAGAAUUUAAAGGUCUAGCGAGGCACGUGUUUGUAAUGACCGAGAAAAGCUACUACUUUCCUUAACAAGGGUGGGUUUCAUUUCCGCUGUUUAUCCUUUAUUUUCCUCUCUGUGUUAUGGAGAAUACAUUUUAUUUGACGGUCCUAACCCUGACAGUUGCAAACCGUUUCACCUCAGCUUUCUAAACGCCAACAGCCAACACUCGGCUGAGAAAGUCGUUUUAUUGCUGGGGUAGUCAUGCAGCAACGCCUGUGAUCCCCACCUGCCUCAGGGUCGGGGUAGCAAUUAGGGAAAACUGACCUCUUGUAAAAGUCAGCACCGUGUGUACUCCUACCUUCCCUCGCACGGGAGAAACCAAUUUUAAAAACCACCCACGAGAAGUUCAGGUUAUGUAACUGAGAAAUUGGAUAAUGAUGUAAACUUUUAAUAACCGUGCACUCUCAGUUAAUAUAUGGACAAAAUAAUGGUAUAUUCCCCAAUUAAACUAAA